GCCGGCGUGGCGGAACUGGCAGACGCACAGGACUUAAAAUCCUGCGGGUAGCGAUACUCGUACCGGUUCGAUUCCGGUCGCCGGCA
rfam:Lachnospiraceae bacterium TWA4 TWA4_scaffold00001, whole genome shotgun sequence.